rnacentral:rRNA from 1 species
GAUGAACGCUAGCGGCAGGCUUAACACAUGCAAGUCGAGGGGUAUAGUUCUUCGGAAUUAGAGACCGGCGCACGGGUGCGUAACGCGUAUGCAAUCUACCUUUCACAGAGGGAUAGCCCCAGAGAAAUUUGGAUUAAUACCUCAUAGUAUAGCAGUUUCGCAUGAAACCACUAUUAAAGUCACAACGGUGAAAGAUGAGCAUGCGUCCCAUUAGCUAGUUGGUAAGGUAACGGCUUACCAAGGCAACGAUGGGUAGGGGUCCUGAGAGGGAGAUCCCCCACACUGGUACUGAGACACGGACCAGACUCCUACGGGAGGCAGCAGUGAGGAAUAUUGGACAAUGGGCGCAAGCCUGAUCCAGCCAUGCCGCGUGCAGGAUGACGGUCCUAUGGAUUGUAAACUGCUUUUAUACAGGAAGAAACACUACUUCGUGAAGUAGCUUGACGGUACUGUAAGAAUAAGGAUCGGCUAACUCCGUGCCAGCAGCC